rnacentral:rRNA from 1 species
CAAUAGCGUAUAUUAAAGUUGUUGCGGUUAAAAAGCUCGUAGUUGGAUUUCUGUCGGUGAGUGUCAGUCCGCUCACAGUGGUUGGUACUUGACGCGCCACCGGCAUCUUCCUGGGGAUUGUGUCUGCCCUUUGUUGGGUGGCGCAUAAUCCAGGACUUUUACUUUGAAGAAAUGAGAGUGUUUCAAGCAGGCCAUCGCCGUGAAUACGUUAGCAUGGAAUAAUAGCAUCGGACCUCGUUCCAAAGCUGUUGGUUUCUUGGACCGAGGUAAAGGUGAAUAGGGAUUGUUGGGGGCAUUCGUAUUUAACUGUCAGAGGUGAAAUUCUUGGAUUUGUUGAAGACGGACUACUGCGAAAGCAUCUGCCAAAGAUGUUCUCAUUGAUCAAGAACGAAAGUUAGGUGAUCGAAGACGAUCAGAUACCGU